GAGACUCUGUGCGCGUGCAUAUCAAUAAGCGGAGGAAAAGAAACUAACAAGGAUUCCCUUAGUAACGGCGAGUGAAGCGGGAAGAGCUCAAAUUUGAAAUCUUCAAGGUUCUACCUUGACGAAUUGUAGUUUAUAGAAGUGUUUUCUGUUAGUGGAGUGGCAAAAGUUCUUUGGAAUAGGACAUCAUAUGAGGGUGAGAAUCCCGUAUUUGGUCAUUCCUCCUAGCGUUGUGAUACACUUUCAACGAGUCGGAUUGUUUGGGAAUGCAGUCCAAAAUGGGUGGUAAAUUUCAUCUAAAGCUAAAUAUUGGCGAGAGACCGAUAGCGAACAAGUACCGUGAGGGAAAGAUGAAAAGAACUUUGAAAAGAGAGUUAAACAGUACGUGAAAUUGUCAAAAGGGAAGCGUUUGACACCAGUGUUGUUUUUCCGAAAAUCAAUUACGAAUGUUUUGUUUUUGAGGAGUUAUGACUUCAUCGGCUUGCUCCUUUCUUUACGAAACUUUCUUAAUGCACUUUUCGGUUAACAAGUCAACAUCAAUUUCUUUUGUUGUAAAAGGGUAUGAGGAAGGUGGCUUUCUUUUCGGAGAAAGUGUUUAUAGCCUUGUGCCUCUAGCAAUCGGAGAGAUUGAGGUCUGCAGCGUAGAUCCUUCGGGGUUAGAUACGUUUGUGCUAAGUUAUAGCUUUUCAUAGACAACUUGUUGACUAUGUUUAGUCUUGUAGCUUACUCGCUUACGCUAUUUUACCUACGCUUAGGAUGUUGAACUCUAUCACACACAG
rnacentral:rRNA from 1 species